UAACCUUCCAUGCACAGAUCAAAACAAAAAAAAUAACAAAAACCCAUAUGUUUAUAACCGAAAUGCAAUAAUAAUACACCCGAACCCAAAAUAUCAUAUUAACCACAGUUUUGCAGCAACCAUCAGAAAGCGCUUUCGACGGUGGAUCCGCAGUAAAAUUACUUUCAAGUUAAUUUCGAACCAAUAGUGAACAAGUGUAGGGGGGUCCUACAGAAUACGACCGACGCAUAAUGAGAACUUCUGUUACACACUUAACAUACACGGAUAACAUAAAUUUCAACACCUGUAUCGGAAAUAUUUGAUGGAACACGCAUUGAGGAUUGGGGAUCUGAGGAUUGCAUCACUUUUCCCCUGAUACUCUUGCAGAUAUUUCUUGAGACCAUUCUUGGGCCAAAUGGUACCGUACCGUAACUGUUUUUUAUUAAAUAAUAUUAAAAAUGGGGCGUACAAAAUUUUGUCCGUCAUCGGACAUUCAACUUGAAUUGACGAGUUUAUGGUAUCGGCGACAUCUGACGAGUUUCUCACUACAACACUCACUACCCGGCACUCGAAGAGUAUGCAAGUUGAUAUUCGAUUUUUCAUGCCUAGUUCUCAGAGACUAUUGUGGGAAGACUUGCGAUAUAUCGCACUGAAAAUGAUCUACCAGAUUUAAGAAUUUGGAUUGGAUCGCGUCUCAGUUUGAAUAGUAUUGAAAAAACCGAACGAGCCGUCAUGGAUCAGAUGAGUGCUCGCGUAGGAGGUCUUCUAUAAAACUGAAUAGAACAAAAUGUUCUUUUAGGUCUUUAUUUACACAUAUAGCAUAUUUUUUUCUUUAGUAAUACAUCGAGCUUACAACUAGUCUGCGGUUUUUUCACACGGAUU